CAGCAGCAGCCGCGGUAAUACGGAGGAUCCGAGCGUUAUCCGGAAUUAUUGGGUUUAAAGGGUGCGUAGGCGGAUAGAUAAGUCAGUGGUGAAAGACGGUGGCUCAACCAUCGCAGUGCCGUUGAUACUGUUUAUCUUGAAUAUGGAUGAGGUAGGCGGAAUGUGGCAAGUAGCGGUGAAAUGCAUAGAUAUGCCACAGAACACCGAUUGCGAAGGCAGCUUACCAAGGCAAAAUUGACGCUGAGGCACGAAAGCGUGGGGAUCGAACAGGAUUAGAUACCCCUGUAGUCCCUGUCUCUUAUAC
rnacentral:rRNA from 1 species